AGCCAUCUUUCUCCACCAGCUUCUGUUUUCUCUCUCCUGUUACACUCUUGGGCUCAAGUCCUAGGCUUUAUUUAUGAGUCUCCUUGCAGUCAUGAAACCCAGUCCAGCUACACAAUUAAUGUUUCCCAUAGUCUCUUGGCGACUUAUGGUUUUGAUCAGAUUAAAGCCAAACAAUCCUCUACAAUUAUGUUUUUACCUAUCAUAGUGUAAAAUUAAGAAGGCAGAGUCUUCUUGUUUAAGAGUGAUCUUGAAGGAGGAAGUGGAGAGAAGCUAGAAACUUUGCAUGCCUUCAUUUAAAUAUUUAGCUAGUUUCCCAGAUGUUCGUGAGAUGAGGGAAGCAGGAAUGUCUUAUCUGUCAUGCUAAAAACAAUUACUGUCUCCCCUCCCAGCAAGAAUCCUGCUCCACCUGGAGACUCAAGGCUCAGAUGUCAAGCUGAAGGCUCCAUUAUCUCUGCAGAUCACGCGGCCUCGUCCUCCCCGGCUCAUGGAACAUUCCAGUGGUUGGAAUUUCCUCACAGAAGCCACUCCACUAACAAAAGUGGGGAUCUCAUUUCUGCUGUUCAGAGUUCAGGACACACAAAGGGAGAAAGAAAACAAUAACAAUGGAAACCGUGUUUAACCCCAGCAGCUGCCCUGCCUCAACUCCAGCAACGACAACAAAAACAAUAAGAACAACAAGAAAUCUUCUCCCUAACCCGGGCCCUAAUGUGGUUAAGGCUAAGCUAACCAUUAUAGCCACAGCCACUGGGCCAGAAACCACACACUGCUGAACGAAAAUAUGUGCAGAGGAAAUACCUCUGUGACCACUGAAUGAAGUCUGAACAGACAAGGAGCCGAUUGACACUUUGUUCUUUUUGCAUUCGGGUGCAGUCUUGCUGGAUGAAGAAAAUUCCACAGUUACCACCUUUGGUUGAUCGGCCCUCCCCUCUGAGAUGAAUUUGGUACCAGGCAGGAGGCUCGCAGAGCUGGUCCCCUCGUGCUGUGAGGAAGCAGACUCUAUCUUGCGAUGUUUUCCUGCUCUGGGGUACCUACCACACAAGGCCCUCAGCUCCUUGCGAAGCAGACACUGCCGCCAAAGUUUCUUCCCAUGUUUACUGAGGCAAGGAACCAAAUCUAACAACCGGAAAGCAAGGAAUACACGGCCAAAUAUUGAUAAUUCCUUCCCUGGAAUACUCAGGGCUAUUUUUAGUUUCUUAAUGUAAAAAGCCAGUGAGAUGAAAAGUGAAGUGAUCCGUUUCCAGAAGAAAAACCAUCGAAUCUUCAUUAAUAAUUCCUUGUAGAAUGCUCCAUGGGCCUUUAUCUGACAGGCUGACAAGCUGAACUAAACAACAGAGACUGUAGGAAUGUAAAAGACAUAAUCUUAACACCAAACCUUCUGAAGAUGUGGCUGUCAUUUUACAUUAAAGGCGAGGAGUAAAAAACCUCCAUUGAAAGAGAAAGAGCUUGCAGAAUGAUUACAGUGCCAGAAUUUAGUGGGGAAAGAAAAGACAGGCAUCAGAGUUAGCAAAGGGAGGUAUGAAGGGUACUGAAUAACAAGCUUCCUUCCCAUGUUUGGUUUGGGAGUUUUGAGAGCAAAAGAUGAGGCAGGUAAUGAUGAGAUGCUAUUUAACUGCUCCUAGGCCUAGUGGCAAAUCUUCUUUAUCAAUAAAGACUAACAAGGAUUGGGCUAACCAUUGUAUGAAAACUAACACAAAUCUAGAUUCUUCUUAUGUUUCUAUAGCAAUGUACACUUUCCAGUGUCUCUUCAUAUGAAAGUCUCACUGGACUGUCAUAACACCAUGGGGUAGUCAGGAUAAACAUUGCUGUCCUGUUGUACACCUGAGAAACCCAUCAUUCAGAAAUAUUAAGGGACUUGUCCAGGGUUAAGUAUUGGGGUUGAGACCAAAUCCAGCUUUCCUUGCCUUUAUGCCUGUACUCACAGUACAUUUUAAAAAUAAGAAAUAAGUGCACACAGCAAACCUUGGGUGAUCUGCACAAAUUACCAACUGAACAAUAACAGCUACCGUCCAUCAGAAGCCCAAGGUCUGCAGGAAAGAACUGAAAUCAGUGAGAACAGAAUAAUGUCAGAGAGCAAGGGGCUAUGGGAACAUACAGAUGUUGUUGCCUUUCUGCACUGAGGGUCUUAUUGCCUAUGAAUCAAGCAAAAUCAAAAUGAGAAAUUGUGUUAUUGUGGUAUGGUUUCUUUCCCCCAAUCAUGUUAUAAUUAGUAUUCAGUUCAGUUCAGUCGCUCAGUCGUGUCUGAAUCUUUGCAACCCCAUGAAUCGCAGCACGCCAGACCUCCCUGUCCAUCAC